rnacentral:pre_miRNA from 1 species
AUUGGGAUAGCUGGGUCAAAUGGUGGUUCCAUUCCCCGUUUUCUGAGGAAUCUCCAUACUGCUUUCCACAGUGUUUACACCAAUUUGCAGUCCCACCAGCAAU